AAUAAAGUGUCUGAUUAAAGAAUUAUUUUGAUAGAAUAAAAUAUGUAAAUUUAUAAUUUACCUUUAUUA
rnacentral:tRNA from 1 species